rnacentral:sRNA from 1 species
AUUAAAGCAUUAGAAUUUGAAUAUAAGUCGUUAAUAGUUUACUUGCCAAACCGUGUUAGUUUUCUUCAGCUUUAGCUUCUUUCUAGCGUUAUAAAUAAGAUUUGUAAGUUAUAUGUUGAUCCACAUAGAUUAACUAUGUGUUUUAUUUUGUUUAUAUAUUUAGGAUAUUUUUAGAUGACUAAAAAAACUGGCCAAGUAAAAUGGUUCAACGAAAGUAAAGGUUUUGGAUUUAUUACUCCUGUUGAUGGUAGCAAAGAUGUUUUUGUUCACUUUUCUGCAAUCGUAAAUGAUGGUUUUAAAACCUUAGCAGAAGGUCAAAACGUUGAGUUUUCAAUUCAAGACAGUGCUCGUGGUCCAGCUGCUGCAGAUGUUAGAGUAAUCUAAGCAUAAUAGUCUUAAAAUCU